CGAACGCUGGCGGCGUGGAUUAGGCAUGCAAGUCGAACGGGAAAGGUUCCUUCGGGAACCAAGUAGAGUGGCAAACGGGUGAGUAACGCGUGGGAAACCUGCCCUUUGGUUGGGAAUAACACUCCUAACGGAGUGCUAAUACCGAAUAUGAUCAUUGAAUCGCAUGGUACUUUGAUUAAAGGCGGCCUCUGCUUGCAAGCUGUCGCCGAAGGAUGGUCCCGCGUCCCAUUAGCUUGUUGGUGAGGUAACGGCUCACCAAGGCUGUGAUGGGUAGCCGGCCUUAGCGGGUGAUCGGCCACACUGGGAUUGAGAUACGGCCCAGACUCCUACGGGAGGCAGCAGUCGAGAAGCUUCCACAAUGGGGGAAACCCUGAUGGAGCGACGCCGCGUGGGUGAUGAAGGUUUUCGGAUCGUAAAACCCUUUCGGCAGGGACGAUAGUGUAAGGUAGUAAUACCACCUUACAUCAGACGGUACCUGCACAAGAAGCUCCGGCUAACUCC
rnacentral:rRNA from 1 species